rnacentral:lncRNA from 1 species
CGCUCCUGCCGGUAGCCCGGGACCUGCAGAGAGACCUAGGAGUCGUGAUGCCAUUGGCAGGUUGGGGAGCUCAGUGACCUCCCCACGGGAUGGCUGUGCCCAUAUCCAUGACCCUCUCAUCCACCAAUUAAGCCACAGUCCACCUGGCUAAUGCUGUCAAGCCCUUAGCACUGAGUUAAGUAUCUGAUUAACCUCCAUCGCAGCCUCUAGUUUAGAGAUGAAUCAAUUGAAGCACAGAGAGAGCAUCACAUGGUUAGUAAAUGGCGGGGCUAGGAUGGCACUCACUUCUGCCGGACUCCAGAGCUCUUCCCUGAUGGUGACGCAGAGUUGAUGAGGGCCCCUGUGUCAUGGCAGAGCACCUCACAGUCCCUGUGGGGAAUUCCAGGUGCCCAGGGCUGUCGUGGUUUACACCCUGAGAAUCCCCAUCCCUGAGCCUGGGACUAACCUAAUGCCCACCCCUCUCCAGCCCUAGGGGUGCUGUUGAUACACCAGUGGCCUCGGAGUCAGGACAUCUGGGUUCCACGUGGAUUCUGAUACCACCUUGCUGGGUAACUCUGGGGACUCUCUCUAAGACCCUGCUCUAUGCAGGGGAAGAGGAAGAAGAUGGUCUUAUCUUUCUGCCUCCAUUGUCUGUUCAUUGGGAGAUCUCUGCAAGGGUGUACCAUUCACUCAGCAAACACGAGUCAAUGACUCAGGUUGGUACAUGACCAGUGCCUGGGAAGCACCUUUCUUGAAGGCCUGGACUUAACCCAGAGAGCCCCACUUGAGGGGGCUGGGUGACCUCCCCUCCAGGACAGCCUGAAGCAAGAGGACACCUCCUUCUUCACACUUCCAGAGGAAUUUGUAUACUCUCCAGGGCCCUAAGAGAAUCCUGGUAAUUUGAAGCAAACGAAGUUUUCUCACCUCCGAAAGAAGGGGCUGGACUUGAAGAUUGCCAACACGCUCCCCUGCUCUAAUGCCAGGAUGGAGCACUGCUUCUCACCUCAAGGUCCCGGAGGACAGGGUGGUCUUCAAUUCCUGGGAACAGCACCCGCAUGGU